CAGCUCCAUCUCUUAGGAUUUCUCACCAGCAGCUCCUAAGGCUCCUGGCUAAUGCCUCUUUGCUCCCACCAGGCGCUUCAUGGGCGUGUACUGAAUCACAAAGGACCCUACAUGAGAUGAAUCUUCUUGUACAUCCCUCUUGGCAUGUGAUGAAAGGAGGAGUUUGCUUGGGAUUGUCCUGGUAACAAGGAACACUCCCAAUCCUUGGAGCCCCUCCCUGGGAAGCAAAAGUCCUGGUUUUCGGCAGAGGGCAUGGCAGACUGGGAGAAAAACACAAAAAUAAUGGAUUCAGUUCAUGAAAACGGGAACCAUGGCAAAGACCAAUGCCACAUACCCAGACAUCACUGGGAGAGGGAGGAAGGAAAGAGUGGGAGGUAUGGAGAGAGUAACAUGGAAACAUACAUCA